rnacentral:rRNA from 1 species
CCUACGGGAGGCAGCAGUAGGGAAUCUUCCACAAUGGGCGAAAGCCUGAUGCAGCAACGCCGCGUGGGUGAAGAAGGCCCUCGGUUCGUAAAACUCUGUUGUUAGGGAAGUAAGAGCUUGAGAGUAACUGUUUAUGUUUCGACGCUAUCUAACCAGAAAGGCACGGCUAACUACGUGACAGCAGCCGCGGUAACACGUCGGCGGCGAGUGUUAUCCGGAUGUAUUGGGUGUAAAGGGAGCGCAGGCGGUCUUUUAAGUCUGAUGUGAAAGGCAGCGGCUUAACCGCAGAAGUGCAUUGGAAACUGGCAGACUUGAGUGCAGGAGAGGUGAGUGGAACU